AAUUAAUUCAGUUGGAUUUAUUUUAACUCGUACAUUGUAUUUGUAGUCGAUCAAGAAAACUCGGAACCCUUAUUGGAACGAAGAGUUCGAGUUUGUAUUAGACGAAGCUCCGGUGAAAGAAGUGAUUCAUGUUGAAGUUAUGAGCAAGAGGAGACGCUUUGGUUUUAUGAUUAAGGAAACACUGGGGCAUGUAGAUAUAAACCUUGGUGAUGUGGUGUGUAAUGGGCGUAUAAAUGAGAAGUACAAUCUUGUUAAUUCCAGAGAUGGAAUAAUACACUUGGACAUAAGAUGGAAAGUCAUUUGACUCUGUCAUUAGUCAUUUCACUCUGCCAUUAGUCAUUACUUUUUUUUUUUUUU